CCGCGGAGCGCGUGUACGGACUCUGCUCGAGGCCGGGUGCUCUGGUGUACUUCCCCGACAUCAGAUCCCCGCUUCGGGCAGAGCCCUAUACGCGCCCCAGUGGACC
rfam:Corynebacterium maris DSM 45190, complete genome.